CUGGAAGCGCAGGUUUCUGCGCGAUAGAAAGUGCCACAGAAAAGAUACAGCCUGUCUUUCAGACAGGUGAUGGUGAAAAGGCGGGGUAAGAGCCCACCGGGCAUCUGGCAACAGAUGCCGCAUGGCAAACCUCAUCAGGAGCAAAGCCAAAAAAGCAGAGAGCUGCUCGCUCUUAUCUGCGGGUAGGCUGCUAUAGGAAUCUGGCGACAGAUUUCAUAGACAGAUGGUAACACAAGACAGAACUCGGCUUAUAGACCUGCUUUAUUA
rnacentral:RNase_P_RNA from 1 species